GCGGGUGUAGCUCAAUGGUAGAGCCUCUGCCUUCCAAGCAGAUGGUGCCAGUUCGAUUCUGGUCACCCGCUCCG
rnacentral:tRNA from 2 species